rnacentral:tRNA from 2 species
GCAUCGUUAGCUCAGCAGGUAGAGCAUGGGACUUUUAAUCUCAGGGUCGCUGGUUCGAAUCCAGCACGAUGUA